GACCGAAUGUGUCGGACCAUCCAGAUACCAGGAUAAUUCAGGAUCUCUUAUCUGAGGGUCAGAUUCAAGUGACUUGAUCAAGAAAUUGUGAAGCACAGAUCGAAUUAAAGUCAAGAUCAAUCAAUAGGGUUCUUUAAUAAUGAAUUUGAAAGAUACUUGAUAUGAUCAAAUGAAGUUGACAUACAGUACGGAUAUCAAAGUAAUUUUGGAUCAUUUUGUUAGAGUCAAUAUGAACCUCUAAAAGAUGAAGGCAUGACUUGGUACA
rnacentral:lncRNA from 1 species